AGCAGUAGCCGCGGUAAUACGUAGGGUGCAAGCGUUAAUCGGAAUUACUGGGCGUAAAGCGUGCGCAGGCGGUUCGCUAAGACAGAUGUGAAAUCCCCGGGCUUAACCUGGGAACUGCAUUUGUGACUGGCGGGCUAGAGUAUGGCAGAGGGGGGUAGAAUUCCACGUGUAGCAGUGAAAUGCGUAGAGAUGUGGAGGAAUACCGAUGGCGAAGGCAGCCCCCUGGGCCAAUACUGACGCUCAUGCACGAGAGCGUGGGGAGCAAACAGGAUUAGAGACCCCUGUAGUCCCUGUCUCUUAUAC
rnacentral:rRNA from 1 species